UAGCAAUAUAAGUAUUAAAGGUACUGCCUGCCCAGUGAAACUUUUUUAACGGCCGCGGUAUUCUAACCGUGCAAAGGUAGCGUAAUCACUUGUCUUCUAAAUAAAGACCAGUAUGAACGGCUAAAUGAGGACCAGCCUGUCUCAUAUGUCCAAUCAGUGAAACUGAUCUUCCAGUCCAAAAACUGGAAUACUAACACAAGACGAGAAGACCCUGUGGAGCUUAAAACUCCCUACUAAUGAACACAUGUGUGCAACUAGUAUAAAUUUUAAGUUGGGGCGACUUCGGAACAAAACAAAACUUCCGAGCAAAGAACCACCACUUCAAGCCCAGGCCAACAAGCCCGAGCCAAAAAAUUGACCCAGUCAUACUGACCAACGAACCAAGUUACCCCAGGGAUAACAGCGCUAUCUUCUUCAAGAGUCCCUAUCGACAAGAAGGUUUACGACCUCGAUGUUGGAUCAGGACACCCAAAUGGUGCAGCCGCUAUUAAAGGUUCGUUUGUUCAACGAUUAACAGUC
rnacentral:rRNA from 1 species